AUUGAACGCUGGCGGCAUGCCUUACACAUGCAAGUCGAACGGCAGCACGGGAGCAAUCCUGGUGGCGAGUGGCGAACGGGUGAGUAAUAGUAUCGGAACGUGCCCAGUCGUGGGGAUAACGUAGCGAAAGCUACGCUAAUACCGCAUACGAUCUAUGGAUGAAAGCGGGGGAUCGCAAGACCUCGCGCGAUUGGAGCGGCCGAUAUCAGAUUAGGUAGUUGGUGAGGUAAAGGCUCACCAAGCCGACGAUCUGUAGCUGGUCUGAGAGGACGACCAGCCACACUGGGACUGAGACACGGCCCAGACUCCUACGGAAGGCAGCAGUGGGGAAUUUUGGACAAUGGGCGCAAGCCUGAUCCAGCAAUGCCGCGUGCAGGAUGAAGGCC
rnacentral:rRNA from 1 species